UCUNNGNAGGUGAACCUGCGGAGGGAUCAUUACUGAGUGAGGGCUUCGGUCCGACCUCCAACCCUUUGUGAACCAAACUUGUUGCUUCGGGGGCGACCCUGCCGCUUCGGCGGUGCGGCGCCCCCGGAGGCCAUUAAACACUGCAUCAUUGCGUCGGAGUUAAAGUAAAUUAAACAAAACUUUCAACAACGGAUCUCUUGGUUCCAGCAUCGAUGAAGAANGCAGC
rnacentral:misc_RNA from 1 species